UGGGGAAUAUUGCACAAUGGGCGCAAGCCUGAUGCAGCAACGCCGCGUGAACGAUGAAGGUCUUCGGAUCGUAAAGUUCUGUUGCAGGGGAAGAUAAUGACGGUACCCUGUGAGGAAGCCCCGGCUAACUACGUGCCAGCAGCCACGGUAAUACGUAGGGGGCUAGCGUUAUCCGGAUUUACUGGGCGUAAAGGGUGCGUAGGUGGUCCUUCAAGUCGGUGGUUAAAGGCUACGGCUCAACCGUAGUAAGCCGCCGAAACUGGAGGACUUGAGUGCAGGAGAGGAAAGUGGAAUUCCCAGUGUAGCGGUGAAAUGCGUAGAUAUUGGGAGGAACACCAGUAGCGAAGGCGGCUUUCUGGACUGCAACUGACACUGAGGCACGAAAGCGUGGGUAGCAAACAGG
rnacentral:rRNA from 1 species